GACGAACGCUGGCGGCGUGCUUAACACAUGCAAGUCGAGCGGAAAGGCCACUUCGGUGGUACUCGAGCGGCGAACGGGUGAGUAACACGUGAGUAAUCUGCCCCUGGCUUUGGGAUAGCCACCGGAAACGGUGAUCAAUACCGGAUACGACCACUUCUCGCAUGGGAUGGUGGUGGAAAGUUUUUUCGGCCAGGGAUGUGCUCGCGGCCUAUCAGCUUGAUGGUGAGGUAAUGGCUCACCAUGGCUUCGACGGGUAGCCGGCCUGAGAGGGUGACCGGUCACACUGGGACUGAGACACGGCCCAGACUCCUACGGGAGGCAGCGGUGGGGAAUAUUGGACAAUGGGCGGAAGCCUGAUCCAGCAACGCCGCGUGAGGGAUGACGGCCUUCGGGUUGUAAACCUCUUUCAGCAGGGACGAAGCGCAAGUGACGGUACCUGCGGAAGAAGCACCGGCCAACUACGUGCCAGCCGCCGCCGUAA
rnacentral:rRNA from 1 species